rnacentral:lncRNA from 1 species
AGACACGGGCGUGUGUCUCAGCCGUGUGUGCUACACGGCUUAGAACACGAACGUGUGUCUUGGGCAUGUGGCAUGGUCAUGUGUGCAAGUCAGAGAGUUAUAUGAGGUCAAACACGACCUCCAACACUGGCGUGUCCCAAGGUCACACGGGCGUGUCCCUUGGACCACACGGGCAUGUGAGCCUUGCACCUUGGAAAAAUUUUGUAAUUGUCUACCUAAGUGGACAAAAUGAAGCUAUUUCUAACUUCAUUUCUCUCCCAAAAUUUCACCCAAGACCUGCACUUGAAACGCACAACCAAUACCAACCAUUUCAAGCACUCAAAUUGGGUAAUUUCUAGUAUUCACAAGGCAUAUCACUACAAGCAUACAUGUUCACAACCUUACCUUAGUUUAACUUAAGCGUUCAUAACAUUGAUCACAUAUUCUUAACAUAACACAUGUGAAAUAUAUUCAUAUCAUAAUAAUCUACUUAGUCAUACCAAAAUGAGCCGUUACUAGCAAUUCCAAUGGCUAGGUUACAAAAUAACAUUUUCAAGCCACUAUUGGCCAAGUUGUCCUAUGCAUGUCAUUAUACUAAAAUGAUUUCUACUAAGUAUACCCAAAAUGACUAGUUGAUACUGUGACGAUGCUCCAGUGAUCUCCAACCCUUGCAAGUACUAUAAAACAGGGGAAAACAAAAUGGAGUAAGCAUUAAAUUGUUAAUAAGUUCGUAUAACAGACACUAAACUUACCAGUCUUGCUUAUUAAAUAUAGGCAUACAAUGUUAUGUUUCCAUCCAUUUGGCUAAAUUUCCUAAUCACAUACAUUCAAUCAAACAUGUUAGUCACCAAAAUCUUCAUAUCAUUCAAGUAGCAUAGAUGAGCUCAUCAAGCAAUAUUCUUCCAAGUCUUUAUCAUAUCAUCUGAAGACUUUCAUGCCAUGGCAAGAGUUAUAUGUCCAUUGAAUUAUUGAAUUCUGAUGGAUGCUUAAGUAGUACACUCGAAGUGCUCGAUUCAAUAAUCUGUCAAUUUCUUAUUCAAGGGUACCCAUUAGGGCACUUAACCAAGAAACACUUUCUCGAGCCACAUAUCGUAUAACAUGAUUACUAGUCCAGGCUAAACCCUGAUCAUAAUGUAUACUCGAGAGGUAUUAUAUCGGGAUUACCCGUCCGGGCUAAAUCCUUUCUAUAACAUGGUCAUUGGGAUUACUCCUCUGAGCUAAAUAUCAUCCGCAACAAAUGCAGGACCUUAUUAGUUUCGGGAAAGCGAAUAUAAUCAUCGGAAUUCAAUAUUCAAUCGGGACUUAACCCCUUUUUCAUCAUUUUAAGCAUAUACUAAAUUUCUCAUGAUAACAUUCAAGUACAUCAAUAUAAAUCACAUUCCAUACAACACAACAUUCAAUAAACAUAUUUACAUGCCGAAUUAAGUUACACGAACUUACCUCGACACUUGUUCGUGUAAAAAGUUUACUAAUCUGAAACUUUUUCUUUUCCUCAAAUUGGUGUUGUCCGGACAUAUAUAAAUGAAUUUAACUAUCAAUUUCACACAUUUCAUAUUUAAAUAGACUCAAUUUACGUCCUAGGCAAAAUUACCAUUUUGCCCCUAACUUUUCCAUAAAUUUUGAUUGUCCUUAGGCCCGAAAAAUGAAACUUGUGCAAAUUACUCCCUAUUCCAAGCCUAACCACGACCCCAUUACAAAUUUUCAGCACAUGUAUUCAAAAAAUUUUAAAAUUUUUCAUCAAAAUUUACAACUUUACAUUUUAGCCCCUAAAUCAUGUUUUCAUCAAAAUUUACUUUGUAAAAACUAUUUAUCUAUGAACAAACUUUUAUUUUCUAGCAUAAAUUUAUAAUUUUCAGCAUAUUCAUCCAUGACCCAAAUUUCAUACCUUGAUAAAUUUUCAAAUUAAUCCCAUAGAUAGAGAGAUUAGACUAUCUCAAUUUCAAAAAUAUAAAAAUCAUUAAAAACGAGACUUGAUUUCAUACCUUUUCAAGCUUGGUAAGUUGUCUUCCUCUCUUCUAAGGUUUCCAUGGAAAUUUUGGAGAAUAUGAUAUAAAAUUAGAUGAUUAUUUCUUUUUAUUUAAUUACCAUCUUUUAAUUUUAGUGAUUUUCAAUUUAGUCCCUUGCCUUUUCUAAUUUUUUCCUGGAUGAGUCAUCAAGAAAAAUUUACAUACUUUUCUUAAUGGUCUAAUUACCAUAUAAGGACCUCUAUAUUUAAAUUCCAUAGCUAUUUAAUCCUUAUAACUAUUAGAAUUUAACUUUUACAUUUUAUGUGAUUUAGUCCUCAUAAUUAAGCACUUAAUCGAUAAAUUUUGUAUCAAAAUUUUCACACAACAUGCCUAUUAUAAUACGAAUCAUAUAAUAAAGGGAAAGUUGACUACUCACAAUGAAAAUUUUAAGUUGAAAUGUUUGUGGUCUUCUUCAUACGUUGAAGAAAUAUAAUCCCCAGAUGGUCUUCUUCAUGGAGACAAAGAUAAACAAAAUUCAGAUGGAACAGGUGUGAAAAAGCUAUAGCCUUGCUAAUGGUAUUGAUGUGGAUCUCGAUGGAUCUAGAAGAGGUUUGUGUUUAGCUUAGAGAGGUGAUGCUACCAUCACACUUUAGUAUUUUUCAAAACGACACAUUAACAUGCUUAUUGAAGAUCCUAACGAUGAAGAAAAAUAGAUAUACAGGAUUUUAUGGUUCCCUUUACGCACAAGAUACGAUUGAAACAUGGAAUCUAUGAAAAAACCUAUAUACCAAUAAGGAACUCCCUUGGAUUGUUUGCAGAGAUUUUAAUGAAAUCAUGUACACCUUUGAAAAGAAGGGAAGGUUGCCUAGAGACAAGAAGAAUGGAAGUAUUUCGAAAUGUUUUAGAAGAUUGUCAUUUGAUGGAUGUGACGUAUUCUAGUAAUUGGUUUACUUUGGAAAGAAGAAAUUUACCAGAAACAAAUAUCCAAUAGCGUUUAGACAGAGGUAUGGCUAACAAGAAUUGGAUGUCUAUGUUCCCUAAAGCUACCAUUCAACAUCCGGUGCACUCGAUCUCUAACCAUUGUCCUCUUCUAAUACGAAAAGAGAAAACAAUAGGAGUUGGAAAACAUUUAAAUGCGAGGCAUGGUGGGUCUUGGAGGAGUCAUUCGAUGCUGAAGUUAAACUCAUUUAGGAAACGGUAUCAGGAGGUCUACUGCAGAAGCUAGAUUGUCUAAAAAAAGGCUUUAAGAUAUGGGCUGUACACAUUUGUCUGUCUAGAAAACAGAAAAAAGAAUUUUUAUCCUCAAAGUUGGCUGAGUUGAUGGAAAUCGAAAGGAGUGAUAAUAAUUUACCAGAGCUGAUUGAUACAAAGUUCCAAUUGAAUUUUGAGAUUAAGAAAGAUGAAAGAUAUUGAUAGCAAAGAGCUCAAGUUAAUUGACUGAAAUUUGGGGACAAAAAUAUAGCCUUUUUCCAUAGUCAAGCAACACAAAGACGAAGGAUAAAUUGUAUUUGAAAAUUACAGAAUGACUGAAAGGGAAACGAAUGAUAUACAAGAAAUGGCAGAAAUUGCUAGAUCCUAUUUCCAAAAUUUAUUUAAGGUUAGGGAAAAAGGGCAUUAUGAACAUCUCUUAUCGAGUAUUGAACGUUGUAUAUCUGAAGAGGAUAAUCAAAGACUCACGACAUAAUAUACAAAGGAAGAGGUUUUGGGAGGCGUUUACUAGAAUGGGGCCUACAAAAGCACUGGGUGAAGAUGGGUUUCCGGCCUUAUUUUUUCAAAAAUGCUGGCAUAUCAUUGGGGAAGAGGUCACACUUUUCUGUCUUCAACAUCUAAACGAAGGUAUGGAGGUUAGUCCAAUUAAUACUACUCAUAUUUUGCUUAUUCCUAAAAGAGCAAAUCUGACCAACCUUACUCAUUUUCGUCCCAUUAGCUUAUGCAAUGUUAUUUAUAAAAUAAUGGAAAAGGCUAUUGCUGAUCGAUUUAGAGAAGUCUUAGAAAAAUGCAUCGAAUGUGCACAGAGUGCUUUUGUGCUAGGAAGGUUAAUCUCGAAUAAUGUAUUAUUGGCAUAUGAAAUUUUACACACUCUAAAACAGAAAAAAAUUUGGAAAACAAGGGUUGAUGGUAGUAAAACUCGAUAUGAGUAAAGCGUAUGAUAGGGUCGAAUGGAAUUUUGUAUAGUAGAUGAUGAUGAGAAUGGGUUUUGACCCUAGCUGGAUUACUUCUAUUAUAAAGUACGUAUCUACUAUUUCUUAUUCAGUGGUACUUAAUGGUCAAGUUGGGGAAAAUUUUCAACCAAUGAUAGGAUUAUGGUAAGGUGAUCCUUUGAGCCCGUUUUUAUUUCUGAUAUGCAGAGAAGUCUUAUCUUGUCUUAUAAGACUGGCACUUCAAGAAGGGGCUACAAAUAUCAAAUUUGUUAUUCGCUGAUGAUUGCAUUUUAUUUGGAGAGGCUACUGAAAAGGGAGCUUGUUUAUUAAAAAUAAUUUUACGCGAGUAUGGAACCUGUUCAGUUCAUUGCGUCAAUUUUGAUAAGUCAACUGCUUUCUUUAGCACUAAUACACAGGAGAAAGAAAGACGAUUAGUUUCUCGCAUACUCAAAGUACGAAGCUUAAUUGACCCAGAACAUUAUCUUAGAAUUACCUAAUAUGGUGGGCAGAAGGAAGAAAGAGUCUUUUCAAAACUUAAAGGAAAAAUUUAAGCAAUGAAUUGACAACUAGAGUAUUCGACAUCUCUCUCAAGGUGGGAAAGAAGUUUUUAUUAAGGCCACUCUUCAAGUUAUUCUGACAUAUACAAUGGCCUUUUUUUUACUACCUAAAUAUUUGUGUGUUGAUCUUGAGAGUAUUAUUACGAAAUUUUGGUGGCAGAAGGAUUGUGGCAAAAGGGCAUUCAUUGAUGUGCUUAGAAGGAUCUUUGCAACGUAAAAGAAAAUGGGAGUUUGGGGUUUUGAAAUCUUGGUCAAUUUAAUAUUGCUUUAAUAGCCAAGUAAAGUUGGCACCUUAUUAAUUUUCCAUAUUCUUUAUUAGCAAAUGUCUUAAAAGCCAAAUACUACCCAAAUUUAGACUUUAUCAAUGCAUAGUUAGGGAAUUUACCUUCGCUUACCUAGAAGAGUGUUUGGGCAGCAAACGGGUUACUGACAUAUAGCUUAUGUUGGUGAGUCGGUAGGGGAGAUCAUAUAUCUGUUUGGAGUGAUCGGUGGGUACCAGGAGUUGUUACAGAGAGAAUCAAUAAUAAUUCCAACAUUGUAGAAGAAAAGUUAGUUUCGGAUUUAAUUGAUGCUUCAACAAGAAAAUGGAAGACAGAUCUAAUAGUUAAUACCUUUCAAGUGGAUAUAGCACAAAAGAUUUUGCAAAUUCCUCUAGCGGAAGAAGAACAUGAUGAUUUCCAAGUCUGGCGAGGAGAACAUCCUGACGAAUUUUUAGUCAGAAGUGCCUACAAACUAUUGCAACAGGCUAAUAUGGAUCCUAAUACUUAUUAAAUACAGGCCAAAAGAAAAAAUUUCUACAGAAAGCUAUGGAAUUUACAUCUCCGAUCAAAAAUUGCUAUCACUAUAUAGCGUAUUUCCUGGAACUUUAUUUCUACUCUAACAAAUCUCAGAUUAAAAAGAGUGACUGCAGAUAUUUCCUGUUCUCGGUGUCGAAAUGCGGAAGAAGAUAGCAACCAUGUUUUCAGACAAUGUUCAACAGCAACAGAGACAUGGCAAAAUCUAAAUCUAUCAUGGGUCAUUAAUACUAAUAUUCAAGAUUUGUAGGAAUGGCUUACUUAGGUCUUCACCAUGGGUAACAACAAAAAAUGUUGACUCUUUUGAUGUGCUGUUUGGACAAUAUGGAGUUCAAGAAACCAGUUAAUUCACGAGGGGAAAAUAACAACAGGAAGAGAUUUAUCGAAUUGAAUCCAAAGUUAUAUACCAGAGAUUGAUGGGUUAGAAGAAAAACCACUUACCUCAAAUGAUGGUAGAAGACAGAGACAGGAAGAAAGAAAUGCAAGAGUAGCUAUUUAUUUUGAUGCAUCUUACGACGGUGAAUAUUCUAGAUCGGCCUCGGGUCUAGUGGUGUCAGGGGAGAUGGGUAAGUUUUUAGCCUCGAAGACAAUCCUCCAUUCCACAAUAUCGUCUCUGUUCAUGGCAGAGGCACAUGCAGGGUCACAAGCAUGAAGUUAGGGAUUUCAAUGGGUUUUCAAUUAGUAGAUAGCAUAAGAGAUUCAAAAACGGUCACAAAGAAAUGUAACUCAGCAAAGACAGACAAAUCAGUUAUAGGGGUGAUUAUCCAAGACAUUCAAAGUAAAAAACAACACUUCCAAGAAAUCAAUUACUUCUAGUUUGUUCAAAGAUCAGGAAAUGGUUAUGCCCACGAACUUGCAAAAGAAGCAUUAAGAAAAGGAGAAGAAAAGUACCUGGAGGGAGUAGAUUUCGUCCAUCUUCAACGCAAACAAGAGGAAAGAUGGCCGAGACAUCCAGAUUGAAGAGUCCUCAUAGGAAAUCUGAAUCUGAAGAGAUAAGGAUAGCAGAAAUGAAAGCUUUUUUGAAACUUGCUAUCAGUUGAAGUGCUGGUAUAGAGAUUCGAAAAGACUGAUAAUUAAUGGGUACCAGCUAUUGACAAUGACUGGAUUAG